UGUAUCUGACAUAUAAGUAUUUUUUAAAUAUAUAGAAGAAUCACAUCGGCUUUCUGGGAAGGAAAUUGAUGUGUACCACUCAAUAAAACCACAUUCUGUGUAAUCUCUAGCAAGGAGUUUUUAAAAAUAUUAGUGUACAUUUUCAAGUAAUGUUUUUUUUUUUCCUUCAGGCAUUGUGAUGUUCAUUUGUAACAUCCUUCUCAAGAAAGCACUUGAAGCCUGCAUCUCCUAACACAAAUAACUGAAGUACUUGGUUUAAAACAUAGCCAAAUUUAUGCUGCUUUAGAGACAAGCUUUAUUCAUGGGUUACCUUGCCAACCACAAUUAGCACCCACUCAGAUGAAGUGUAUCAUACAGCUACACCUCUUUACAAACAGAAAUGCCAUACAAAUGAAUUAUGCUAACCAUAAAAAUAGUUUUCUUAUUUUUUCUCAUCAUAAGAGUAUCUUGAAGCUGUUAGGACUUCUUUAAAUGCUGUUGCAGAAUGUGUUGGAAAUAUACCUCCACUGAAGCACUGGAAACAAUAUAUCCAUAUCCAUAAAAUCAAUUUCUGCAUGUACCAUGAAAACCUAUGCAUUUCAGAGUAUUUCUGUAAAUCUGUCUUUACCCAGGAGCACCACUGAACCACAGCAUUUUUAUUUUUUUCUGCUCAGGUUUCAGUUAGUACAUAGGAUUUGAGAUCUUGAAUGGUUAUUGAAUGAUUAACUGUAAGGAGUUUAAUUAUGUGUUAUUAGAAUCCAUCAGAUGAGAAAAACAUUUUAUAAUACUUCUUCAUUGCUGCAAGCAUUUUUGUCAGAAAGUAAGUCCAGUUUCUCCAGCAUAUCUACAGAGCAUACUCAGUCCUCAGAGGAAGACCACUGAAGCCCAAGAGUAGUUCAAAUACAAGGUAUACCAAAAAAGAGGGAGGCAGGCACUGCUGACUGUCACUGCUGUAAAAAAAUUGGCGUGGGACAUAUCCUUGCUCUGUAGAUGUGAAGCAUAGACCCACAGCUAUUCCCAGGAAGCAGAUGCUUUCUGUGUGAAUCAAGACUUACAUUGCUCGUGCCAUUAAUCACUUUGCCAGGCUUAGAAUGUAAGUACCUCAUACCUGAGUGAAGAAUUCAUUCUUCAAAUUCGAAUCAUUCAAUUCAAAUACUUUAAAGGGAUGCUUGUACUGGGGAAUUCACAUAAAUUUAUUGGGGUGAAUUUCAACUUUAAAUUGUAGUUUUGACACAAUGUAGCAUAGGAGUUUUUUUUUUUUUAAUUUACAUUUUUCUUAGUUUCUUUUUAGCCCUAAAACAAGGCUCAAGUGGACAAGUGGUAUAUGGUGUUGUCAGCUGUUCAUGAUCUACUAUUGGUUCAGUAGAGGAAGGAACCCCACGCUCUUGUCUUGGAGAUCAUAUAGGUCCAUCUUAAGAGUUUUAGACCAUCUUGGCAUAUCACUUACUGGGAACUAAGGUGGAUUUAUAACUGUAAAAUUUGGGGUACUCUUGACAGGAAGGUAGUCUGAUGUACCAGUGCAUUUGCAAAGUGAUAUAGUGGUACUAUUUUUGGCUCCUAAAAAAUUACAAUACAAUAACUGCUAAAUAAUGACUUUUUUUUUUUGUGGUUACUUAUAUAUUAAUUCUCCAAUGUCCUAAUUAGUUAGUAAAAGUAAAGGUGGACUAGAUCGCGAGUUACAAUUUAUGCUUUUGCAAAUUUCAGGUUUCUGUCAUUACCAGAAACUAUUAAUUUAGGUGAAGAAAUCUUAUAAAAAUACAAAAAAAAAAUGCUGCCUGUAAAAACGUUCAGAAGGCUUUGCUACAUAGUUCUUCUGGUGGCUGUAUGUUUUUCACAACCAUACUCAAUCUAAAGUCAGCAGUUAGCUCACUGGUUCCAUGUGAGCAUUUUUAUUAUGAAAUGAAAAACAAUUUGUUAGGCUUUUAGGCUUCAGGUGUGCCCUACCAAAAGCACAAAGCCAUUGCUCCUCCAGCUCUAGUGACCCAUAAGAGCUAAUAGUAAGCACCUUCCUAGUGUAAGAUGUGAUUCAGAGAGAUGUGAUCACGAAAUAUUAGAUCACGAGUGCAGGAAGCAUAAGUUUUUCAAAUACAGAGUGAUAAAGCAAAAGUGUUAAAGUAAGAAGAGGAGAUAGGACACAUCUUCUCUGCUAAAAGAGAGAGGUAGACUCUCUCCUUUCCUGUGUUGCAUAACCAUUUCUUCCCCAUGUUUUCCCUUUUUCCUUUGCUAAUGUUAAAUAAAGAGUUCUCAUUUCUAUUUCAGUCUAUUUUAUGCAGUACUUAUAAGAUGCCUUGAUCUUCUAGUUGGCAUCUGCACAUGUGAAGAAAAAAGCCAUUAUAUACCUGACUGCUAAUUCGAGUUUCCAAAUUGAAGGUUUGGAUGUUUUGAAGACACAAUUAGUUGAAAAUGAGGCAUUAUUUACUGAAGUUCCAGUGUCAGCUUUGAACAUUAAGCUUAUGAUGAAAUAAGAUGUUUCAAAAUUGAAGCACUGACUGCAUUCUCCUUCUUCUCUAGGCCAAACAUAUGUUCGUAAUCCUUUGUACUUACUAUUUCUUAACACACAAUAACAAAUUGAGUCCACACGAGCUUUUUAGAUAAAUGAAAACAGUUCAUAACUGAUUUGGCCUUGAUCCUGUUUUGGAAUCUGCUGGUUUAAGCAGAGUAACCCUAACAAUAAGGGCCAAGUUAAUUACAGUUGCUAAGAGCUGUAGAUUUUCUAGGUCUGAGCUGGAUCCCACCUGCCAGCCUGAAUUUCUCUGUAGCGUUCAAAACUGAUGCCUUGAACAAGGGCUGGAACUGCUGCUGUCAUAGCUGAACAGUAACGUCUGGGCUUCUGACUCCAUGCCACUACUUAAUACCUGUUCGUCCUCUCUACGGGGUACGGUUAGAGACUACCCAGAAGGUAAGAAGAGGCUGACUCUGGAAAGGUUUUCCCAGUGAGCUAGCAGUACCACAGCUAGCUGACACACUGGAGGUGGCAGAAUGUUUCUUUUGUGGCUGAGGCUCGCUCAAGGUGAAUUGAUGCAGCAGUGCUAGGAAUCAAGAGAAAUUCUUCAGUGUAUGCUAGUCAAAGGAAUAUUAAGACUUUUACCUGAAAGUGGUAAUAAAUAACCCUAUCUCAGAAUUGAAGAAGCAUAGAGAGGGAUACAAAAAUAAGACUAAUCAGGUAUGAACUGAUCUAUGAGUCAGUUUGUAAUUUCAGUUUCAUGCUUCAUCAUAGACUUGCUUUAUCAACUUUGGAAUAUCCCUUUGCCUUUAGUUCUUCUGGCUCCCUGUUUGUCAGACAACAUAAAUACAUCACCAAGUGCACAACAGAAUUAAGCUCUUUAUUUUAUUAUCUAUCAAACAGGCACAAUACUCUCCUCAUGAGAGUCUGUUUGGUAUUUGACUACAACUUCUAUUCUUUCAGCCCCAAAAGGGUCAGGUUACAGACCUUCACACAGUCAUUAAAAAGACCAUUACUAUAUUCAUAUAAGAAAUCACCAGCAAGCCUGCCCCAUUACUGUGCCUGAAUUACUGAACUGAACUCGAUAUGCUACUUUUUACCUCAUCUAUGCAUUAUUGCACAGACCAAGACAGUGAGGACCCAUGUAUACUUCUGAUACAUUUGAAGAAACAAAGCAAAAGAGCAAAACCAGGAUUUUCUUAUCAAGCCUUUAACACCUAUUACAGCUAGAGUUAAAAAAAACAAUAUACCUGUUUAAAUCUUUCUAAAAUCUGUAUUUUUUUCUGAGAUAAAAUUUGUAGUUAAUUUACUAGUUUAAAUCAUUACUCGAGGUAAAUAAGAUCUGCACAAUACCUUGGAAAAAAAUGUGAUGAUAGUCUUCCCUGAUUGACUGAGAAUACUUGGAAGCCUCCCCUGCCCCAUUAGAAUCCUUAAUUGUUUUUGAUUUAAGCGUUUAACAAUUUUUACAUUCAGUAAACAAACACUCCAACCCCCCACUUAAGAGCAUGAAUGCUUUGUUCUUGAAAUAUUGUGCUGUUCAUAAACUUGCAUUUAGAUAAGACGCUGUUCAUCUUCAGACAAUAAAACCAUUAAAAAAGGAUAGAAGAUAGCUCUGAUUUGCAGCAACUAUCCUAGCUGACUGUUCUGGGAAUGAUCUUCAGAAUUACCUCAUUAUUUAUUCUUGGUGCAGUCCACCACUUAAACAAACAGUUUUAUAUAUAGAAACAGGGAUGGGCUUAGCUUACUUUUUCAGGGUCAUUUUCAGAGACAGACACUGAAGAAGUGCAGGCUCGUAUUACCCAACAUAGCAGACACUCUGUGUGUGUGUGCAUGUGCAAAUGCGUAUGUAUGUAGUUACACACUACUGGAAAAGUUGAUAAUGAAGGAAGGAAAGUCAGAGAUUCCCAGUGGAUGUCAGUUGAAACUCCUCUGUCAGGGGUAGCACAUGUUAUUCAAAGCACCAGAAAUAUGGCAGGGAUACCUAAGCUGCUGCUGCAGGCAAGGAAGAAAAAAAAUCAAUCACAUUUUAGUGGUAGUAAAUCUUUGUGGAAGAUUAAGAUCACAAUUUGAUCAUUCAAACCUUCCCAUCAAGUAAAUACAAGUCAAAAAGAAAAUCGUGAUUUUGGACCUGUCAGUGGGUGAUGCACAACAUAACGCCUUCUAUUAUUGAAAAAUAAAUAAUAGUUUACUGUAAUGGUUAAAGGAAAUAUAAUACAGCAGAUUUAUUGCUGCAGUUCAGGGCAUUGGUUGAAAUAUUUUCACUUUCUGAAAGACUCUUUAUAGAUAGCAUCUCAUGCAUCAAGAUUUGCAGUAGAACAUGCCUCAAACGUUUCUAGGUGUUUUUUGUAUUUUGCAUGAGUUUCUUGAAGGAUCUCUCAAUUUUUGCUGUUGUGGUGUAGCUGAAGAUGAUCUGAACAUUUACAUGUCCAUUAGGAGCAUCUCUUGUCUCCAACUAGUAGUCACAGCACAAUACUUUCAGACUGCAAGAAUAAUAAAUGCAGUAUAACAUUCUGUAAGUUACAAAAAAAGUGGAUCGAUACACUUCAGAAUGCAUAUGCUUUAGCAGUUAGACUCACAUAACAGUUUAACAGAAACAUACAGUGAAUUUUUAAGUCUGUAGUUUUUUCCAACUCUGAACAUUUGCAGAUUUUAAAGAUGAAGCAAGAACAAAGCAUACCUUGGCAACCAGAAGAGCCAGGUAGGGGGAUUGGGUGGAAGAAAAUUUAAAUAGAAGUAGGAAACAUAGUCAGCGUUAAUAUUCUUAGCUGUUGCAGAUCUCCAAAGUCCUGAUACAAAUGAUUAUGCAUGGAAUACAAGUUAUUGCAGGCUCUGAAUAUUUGACAAUUAUAUUACUGUAAUUUGUUAAAAGGGUCUUGUGAUAUAAAUGCCACAAGAAAAUUUGCAACUUCUGCUAUUUACGCUUCAGAUUCUAAGAAUUUUGUUGCAGCUAAACGUUUCAUUAUUUCUAGGGUUAAGAAUAUUUUAUACUAUCAACUGAUUAUAAUUUUAUAAUUGUAUCUAUAUUUGGUCUGUUUUUAGUUCAUUUCCAAAAAAUAAUAUCCAAAACACAAAGAUUACAUCUUGCAAGAACUGCCAAGAGGUUGCUCUGUGUUUUCUCUACAUGUCAGUUUUCCAAGAGUGACAUGCCUCGAGUCUGAGACCAACAUGGAAAUGAAGCACAAUACAUUUCUGAUAUAAGCCCUUUGAUGUUCAGAACUGGACAAGGCUCCAGUGCAGCCAGUCUUACAAAGAGCUCAGUGUUACUUCUGCUCAGUACACAUCACAAACUGCAGCAGUACAGUAGCAGCAUUGCUGAAAGGCAAACAAGUGGACAACAAUACAGUUAGGGUAAAAAAACAACAACAAAAAAACAUAGGAAAAGCGUAUGAAAGGUAGAAGUUGAAUGGAGAACCUGAGAAUAAUGCAAACACAGCAAUCAUAAGAAAAAAGUUUCAAAGAAACCAUAAAGCCAGUUUCUGUGUGUUUCUGUGGACAACGUGCAAUUGUUGCUGAAGAGAGAUUACAGACCUGUUUCACAGAAUCUACUCUGGAAAUUUCUGUUCUUGCUAAUCCAAUUAUGUAUUAUUCCAGCAUAUAUGUGUGAGCUUUCUGAGUACAGGCUUAUGGAAUUUGAAUUCAAUUAACUAGUUAUCGAAGGGAAGGUGCAGCAGUUGGGAAUAGUGAUUUUAAAAUAAAACUUACAAAUUUAUACUAUAUUUGCAAUAUAUAUUUGUACUUAUUCUGAAAAAUUUACCAUUGAAAAGUAUACAUUUUAUUCUGGCAUUCCCAAAAGUCCUCCUGUAAGGCUCCUAUCUAAAAACCUUUGAUUAGUAUUCCCUGUUGGGGUUGCUAACUUAGCCAUUUCUGAAAUCUAGUUCAGAACCAAGUAAUUUCUUUGAACCUAGUUCAUGAAAUGGAAUCACCUUUUUAUUUACAGAGGGAAGCUUUUGCAAACAGAACUGGUAAAUGCCAUCUAAAAACCAGUAUCUAUUUAACCAUAAUUUAAUAUUCCAGGGAAUACUGUUUUAUAGCAGUUGUGGAUUAAGAUCAUUUUGCCAUGCUCUAAAAAUCACACUAGGAUUAGUACACGUGCAGGCCCAUUUUGAUGUAUUGCAGCAACGUCUUCUGUUUAGACAACAAAUCACCAUAGCAGUGCAGUAGCCCUGGUUACACUCACUAAGUUCUGUAAAACUAAAGAACUCGUCCCUUAGGUAACCGUCGGCUAGCCAAGCUAUUGAAAAUUUCUUCCAGGUUUUCAAGACAGUGCUGCUGAGAACAUCUCUUGCAGAGAAGAUUGUAAAGAACAGAUCAAAAAAGUAAAGUAAAAAUGGCUAUCCUACUUAUAUUGAAAUAUCUGGGAGAUGAACUCUUAACAUUUUGUACUCAAAAUAAGAGGCACUGAAGCUUUAAAACAUACUCGAGUAUUUCCUUGUACAACCUUAUCAAAACAUUUAGUCACGUACAUUCUCUCUCUCUCUGGCUUUUUUACAAAUGGAGUAACUUUUUUCCCCCCUCAGACUCUACUAGCUGAUUUCAAGGAUAAAAGGGAAGUUAAUGGUUCUAGAGAGUUUGUUUUCUAGAGAAUUCUCCUAGUCCCUUUUUAUUUAGUAUCUGUUUUUCUGAGCUUUCCAAUGUAUACGUAAAAUUAGCUGCAUCAUGUUAGUAGGGAAAAGAGCUAAGAGUUUGUUUAUAUUCAGUAAUUAGGCUUCUGCUUCCCUUGAAGAGGCUGAAGAGAAGCUAAAGCUAAGGAACAAACUUCAAAUCACAAUGUUUCAUCUAUUGAAGCUAAAGAGAGAACUGUGGCUCUGAAUUAUCACUCCACUACAUUCUGGGUCAAAUUUCAACAUGACUGUGUCUGAACAUGAUUUUUAAUGGCCAGUGGAGGGAGGCAGGAAGGUUUAAUAUUUGCUAAUAGAGUAUCUUUAAAAGUUUUCACUAUUUUUCUGUGCCACGUGUCAGGCAACCUUUCAAAUUUAUACUUUAGAACUUACAUCUUGAUUUAAAAUAAACAGACCAAACCAACUACAGAUUACAAGAGAUUUACCUAACAAUUACACACUACUAGUCUCACCAAACUUACUGUUAGCAGUUAAGUCAUUUUUAACUGAUAAAUUAAGAGAGAUUCUUUAUAUUUAAUUCUUCCCCCAUAUCUUGUAGAUGAGGAAUAUUAUUUCUCAUGCUAACUUUAGAACAAGCUAGAAAAUAGCAGAAAGGAGAAACAUGACUGGCAAAUGCAUUCAUCAUUUAUGGAUUAUUCUUGACUAGGUUGCUAGCCAACCAUGGAACAGAAUAUUUAGAAAUACUAUUCAAGAAUAGAAGUUUUGGAGAGGAUGACUUAAAGAAAAAAAACACUGUGAGGAAAAAGUGUAUACAAUCAAAGUUAUGAACAAUUACUGCAUAUUUUGCCAGUGAUUAUAUUUUCAGGUUAAGAAGGUAGAUCAGUCAAGUAGAUGUUAAGGACUUUAUAUCAAAAACAACAACAACAAAAAAACAACGGGUUUAUGCUUGUGUUGAUUCUGCAAACAUCCAGGAUUUUUGCUAUUAUAUCCAGAAAGAGUAAAUGUGAUAUAAUUACAAAGUAUUAUGAAAUCCUGUAGCAAUAAUUUCUGAUUUUUUUCAGAUUAUAACCCUACUUGCAUUUCUUAAAACUGCAUACUGUAGAAAACAGAUCAACUGAAUAUUAAUUUAAUUUAGACUGUCUUUGUGUAAGAGCUAAAGAGAACUUCUUCCUAAAAUAGCACUUACAAAAGGAUCGUAAACCUUGGUAGCACCCAGUUUAUGGAGCCUGAAAUAAAAGCUGUCAAUUGGUUAAGCAAUGCAUGACAAGUUUCUUUAACAAUCCUCUGUUAUGUUUCUUUAUGCUGUUUGGCACAACAAAAAUGUAUUCAUUCAGUAACUUUUAUGGCAGCUUUUGGAUUCUAUUCUGCAGUCACAGAAGUGGAAUUCUGGAUGACUGAGGAAAGUUUCAGAGACAGAUGUUUUUAUUUUUAAAAAUUAUUUGUGGUUUUGCUGUCACUGCAAAUGAGAAAGCCUCACAAUCAUAAAAAUACUCGCAUUCAAGCUUUUGCACUUCUUUUAGAAGUCGCUGCUUUUCCACAGUAUGGCUGUAUGUUUUAUAAGCAGUGUGGAUUUCUCUGCAGCUGGCUUAUAUUUAACUUUUGCAAACAUAAAUUUGAAAGCAAUUAAUGUUCAUGCAGAAAAAGUUAUUUUGAAGAUAAAGUUUGUUUUGGUUAGGGAACUGCUCAGACAACAGGGCAAGCAAAAGGCCUUCUUGGCAGUUGUAGCUAGAAACUGCAAGUGUCACCACUACUGGAAAUAGUAUCCAGAUAACCAGAUAACUUAAACAUACGAACUACAACACAACCUAUCCUGUGCAAAACAAUGUUUGCCAAUAUAAGCUGCAUUUGUUCCAAAGAGAUUUUGUUUUUAUUGUUACUCUACAAGAAACAUUGAGCAAGCAAAGCCUAGGAGAAAGCUCAGAAAAAAGCAGCUUGCUAA